UCUCGAUUGGUCUAGUGGUCAGGAUACCUGCUUGUCAUUCGACCGAGUCGUGCAGAUCCCGCCUGCUUGGGGGGGUCUCCUGUUCCGAGUAACAGUACGCAGGUGGCCGGGGUUCGAUUCCCCGAUCGAGAG